UUUGGAUUUAAAGUUUUUAGCUUGAGUAGUAUUAGGUAUGAUCUUGAAACUUAAAGAAUUUGGCGGUAUUUUAGUCUAGUUAGAGGAAUCUGUUCCAUUAUUGAUAAUCCGCGUUUAACCUUACUCAAUUUAAUUUAAUAUGUAUAUCGCCGUUUGUUUGAAGAUUUUUUUAGAAUUAAUUUUCUUUAAAUUGUAAUUAAUUUUAUUCCAGGUCAAGGUGCAGUUAAUAAUUGAGUGGUAAUGGAUUACAUUAUUUGUAAAAUAUACGAAUUAUAUUUUGAAAAUAGUUUAUGAAGGUGGAUUUAAUAGUAAUUAAUAAUUAGAAUUAUUUUUGUGAUAUUAGCUCUAGAAUGUGU
rnacentral:rRNA from 1 species